rnacentral:rRNA from 1 species
UACGUAGGGGGCAAGCGUUGUCCGGAAUCAUUGGGCGUAAAGCGCGUGUAGGCGGUCCGGUAAGUCCGCUGUGAAAGUCGGGGGCUCAACCCUCGGAUGCCGGUGGAUACUGUCGGGCUUGAGUACGGAAGAGGCGAGUGGAAUUCCUGGUGUAGCGGUGAAAUGCGCAGAUAUCAGGAGGAACACCAAUGGCGAAGGCAGCUCGCUGGGACGUUACUGACGCUGAGACGCGAAAGCGUGGGGAGCAAACAGG